UAAGGAAUAUUGGUCAAUGGACGCAAGUCUGAACCAGCCAUGCCGCGUGAAGGAUGAAGGUCCUCUGGAUUGUAAACUUCUUUUAUCUGGGACGAAAACGGGGUUUUAUCUCAAUUGACGGUACCAGAGGAAUAAGCACCGGCUAACUCCGUGCCAGCAGCCGCGGUAAUACGGAGGGUGCGAGCGUUAUCCGGAUUUACUGGGUUUAAAGGGUGCGUAGGUGGGCUUAUAAGUCAGUGGUGAAAUCUCCGAGCAUAACUUGGAAACUGCCGUUGAUACUAUAGGUCUUGAAUUAUCUGGAGGUAAGCGGAAUAUGUCAUGUAGCGGUGAAAUGCUUAGAUAUGACAUAGAACACCAAUUGCGAAGGCAGCUUACUACAUAUAAAUUGACGCUGAGGCACGAAAGCGUGGGGAUCAAACA
rnacentral:rRNA from 1 species